UGAAAAGAAAAUGAUCUUUACAUAAUCGGAGGCCAAUUUUUCCGGACGAUGUGGAGCUGAAAACAACGGAAGUGUAACAAUUAUAUCACAAAAUAAAAGUGAAUUAGUUAAUCAUGGUCAACAAAAAUUCAACACUCAGGGGAAUCCAUUUCCUUAGAAUUGGUUGUAAAUUAAAUAAUCGCAAUUAACUUGAUUAUUAUUCGGAAGUGUUGGUUAAGACCUUGGAAAUCAAUUAACUGGAACCAGACUUGAGCAAUUAAAUCAAUUGGUGGUGACUUGGUUGAUUAAACAUGGAGACAUAGGACAUGUGAAUAGGGCAACAGGAAAAUGACCUCGGAGCCAGAGGGGUUAUAUGGGCAGGCGAAAGUAAACUGGUCAACCAUUUAGGCCUUAAACCAACGGAUGCCAAUUUCUUUGUAAUUCAACCAUGACAAUCUUCAAAUUCAAUUAGUUAAUUUUUUGUUCUCUGUCCGUCUUUAACUGUUAAUUUGAUACCCAUUUUGUUUAGACUAAAUAAUUAUCAACACAGAUUAGAUCGGCUUCUCAUCAAUCCCAUUUUACUGUUAUUGUCGCAAUCAAGUGUAUUGUUUGUUAAGCAACAUUUCUUGACAAACGAUUUAGUUAAAUAUCUUCUAAUUGUUAUACUCCGGAUGGAUAAACCAUUGGACAAUCAUCACUCACUGGCCAGUAAAUUGUUGACCAACUAAUACAUUUGAGUUUUAAAUUACAUCCUUAUGAAUUUGGUAACAAUUUGGUGAUGAUGGUUAACAAGCUCGCAAUUAAUCAAAUUAACUGUUCUCCAACCAUAAGUGUCAACCAUUUGGAAUUUUAAUCAUCAACAAUAAUAAUUUCUCGAGAUCCUUUAAUUUAAAUCAUUGGUUUACAUAACAAUUAACAUCCCAAAGGGAAAAUAUCUGUCACCAGUUUUUCGUCAUUUCUUUUUUUUUCUCUGUCAAGUGAAAACAAUUAACAGAGAAAAAUUUGAAUAAACAAAACAUACGAGAGAAAACAAAAACUCCAAGGGGAAAAAAAGAUAACGGAAAUUGUCCCAAUGUGCCAAUGUGAUCUCAAAGUCGAAGCCGCUGAAGAUACUCAUCUAAACGAUGAUGAUUCUUUGAUAAAUUGUUAACAUUGACAGUUUCUCAUUCUCAUUUGGUUACUUGAAUAAUUAACAGCAAUUUAAACUCUCCCAUGGUGAUAAUAUUAGUACAUCUAAUUGAUGUCUUAAUAUUUGAAUAUUUUUGUGUCCAUCUUGUUAAUUGUUGGACAUGAGAUUAUCUUAUUACCUUUAACGAGAGAGAUGAAAUUAGUUUGAUGAAAUUAUUCAAAAUCAUGAUAGAUUCUUGAAGAGGAAACUAAACUAUUUACAAAUGGAUCGCAGUUUAUUUUGCUGAUAUAAACAAUGAUUUACAACCACUGCCCUUGGAAAAUCAGUAAAUUGUUGCAAAAAUAUUUCAUCUUUUUCAGUAAUUAAGUGUGAAAAAACACCAAUGGAAACACAUGUUACCAAUAUGAUGAUGAGGAUGCUACUGUUUUGGGGAAGGCAUAGACUAGAAUCCGUUGGAAAUAGACAGAGAAAAAGAAAGUAACUUGGACCCGGGAGAUUCUCAAUGUCAACAUCUUGGACUUUGACAUUCUCUCACCCCACUCUCUUAUCUUCUUCCUCCUCCUACUCUAAGCAUCAUCUCCAUCUCUAUCUUCAUCUUCAUCUUCAUCUUCAUCAUCAACAUCUUCCAACAGAUUAUCUUGUUUACUAUUGAGAGCGUUCAUUCAUCAUCUUGCUACUGUUUGGUUAACAUUCAUUUUCAUUGUGUUACCUUAAUUGUUACGAUCUUGUCACCAAAUCAACCUGUUAAUCCUCUGAGUAAAUUGUGUACAAUUAAUCCACGAAUUAAUGGAGCUACUCGAAGAAUUUAACAAUUUACUUGAUUCACUUCCAAUCUCUCCCAGCCUUUUACAAGAGGAAUCAUUGAAUAAGGCUGAUAUUGUUAAUCAAGCCAUAUUACAGAUCAUUUUCCUCGAAGAUUUAAUCAAGAAAAGAUGCCUUCUCAAUCUGCAAACACAAUUUAAUCGACGACGAGGAUCACGAUUAAGGCGAUCAAAAGUUAACCAUAAAUGUGUCCACUAAAUCAAAUCAAGUGAAAUCAAAAAAUUAACCAAUUAAAUUGGUUUACAAUUAACGUGAAAAAUAUUUUGUAAUAUGAAUUUAAAAUUAAAAAAGUGAUCAAACUUGAAAA